UGGGGUCUGAUCUGUGUGUGAUGUGCUGCAGGAGCCCAGGAGACUGAAAGUCAGCCCGUGCUGGGUGAUGCACAUUUGCACCACUUCCAGGUGGCACUUUUGAUUGGUCCUUGGCAAGCACUUUAGUAAGUUCACUUUCCUUUUUGAAAACACUAUAUUUAGCCAGGCAGUGGUACAGUGGUACAAGCCUAUAAUCCCAUAAUCCCAACUACUCUGGAGGCCGAGGCAGGAAGAUCAUGAGUUUCAGGCCUGACUGGGCAACUUAAGAGAUUGUCUCAAAAUGAAAAGGGCUGAGGAUGUGGCUCAGUGGUAAAGUGCCCCUAGGUUCAAUGCCCAGUAUAAUUUUUUAAAAAACUAUAUUCAUUCCCAACACUGAAAUAUCUGCCGCCCACACACAUCUGUGCUCUGUUGUACUUGUAGCAAGGAUAGCAUGGGUGUGACUGAACAGCGUUUCCUCGGGAACCUGUUGGAAUGUCAAGGAUCUAGGGAAUUAUUGUCUGAGCAGUGAGGUUCAACUACAUCCUUGAAGGUGAGGCCAUGGUGGAGCUCCUGCUGAAGGAACCAGAUGGUGCCCUUUCCAGAGCAUCUGGUCAGAAUCGGAGGCUCCUGAGUCCCCAAGGAGGAGGGAAGGUAGCAGCGUGAACCCCCUGGGUCAUCCUCGGUGGACAUCGCCCCAGGCCAAGGCCUCUGGGCAUCCCGAGCCCCGGGGCUUUGCCAGAGUUCCGAGAACAUCACCUGCACUGCAAGGUCCCGCUCUCCCUGGGAGCAGAAGCCAGUG
rnacentral:lncRNA from 1 species